GAUGAACGCUGGCGGCGUGCUUAAUACAUGCAAGUCGAGCGAACAGACGAUGAUCUUUUUCCUCUGACGUUAGCGGCGGACGGGCGAGUAACACAUGGGUAACCUACCUAUAAGACUGGCAUAACUUCGCGACUCCGGAGCUAAUACCGGAUAAUAUAUUGCACCACAUGGUUCAUUAGUGAAAGACGGGUUUUUCCUCAAUAAUAGAUGGAUCCGCGCCGCAUUAGCUAGGUGGUAAGGUAACGGCUUACCAAGGCAACUAUGCGUAGCCGAUCUGAGGGGGUGGUCAGCCACCCUGGAACUGAGCCACGGUCCAGACUCCUCCGGGAGGCAGCGGUAGGGAAUCUUCUGCAAUGGGCGAAAGCCUGACGGGGCCCCGCCGCGUGAGUGGUAAGGGUCUUCGGAUCUUAAAACUCUGUUAUUUGUAAAGAACAAUUGUGUCAGUAACUAUUCACGUCUUGACGGUACCUUAUCAGAAAGCCACGGCUAACUCCGUG
rnacentral:rRNA from 1 species